CAAGCUGCUAAGGUUAAACCGUUCUUCUGUCUGUUCUGGCUAAACUAAUUACCACAAAUAUCAUAUUAAAUUGAUAAACUACUUCAUUAUGACAACGAAUGUUAUUAUUCAGUUAAGUAUUGACUAAUUUGACUUGAUUAUAUAGCUGUGAAAUUCAUGAAAUAGAUCAAAUAAACCAGACGUUUUAAGACGAACGAAUCGUUUGUUAACGUUACUGCUAAAUGCUAACACAGUGAACAUGGCUACAGUGUUUCUGACAACUCACACGAGCAGAACUUUAAACAAACAUCUGCUGAAACUGAUCUGGACUAAUGGAUCGGUCAGAUGUGCAUCCGUGGGCAGGAUUGAGAAAGUCCUUAUCGCUAACAGAGGAGAGAUAGCUUGCCGGGUAAUGCGGACAGCUAAGAAGAUGGGUGUUCGCUCUGUUGCCGUGUACAGCGAUCCAGACAGACAUUCCAUGCAUGUUGCCAUGGCAGAUGAAGCGUAUUGUAUCGGACCUGCAGCUUCUCAGCAAAGUUACCUACGCAUGGACAGGAUCCUAGACGUGGCCAAGAAAUCCUGUGCACAGGCGGUUCAUCCCGGAUACGGUUUCCUCUCUGAAAAUACAGAGUUUGCUGAACUGUGCAAACAGGAAGGCAUUAUUUUUAUCGGUCCGCCUUCAUCAGCCAUUCGGGACAUGGGGAUCAAAAGCACAUCUAAACACAUUAUGUCAGCUGCUGGCGUGCCUAUCAUCGAGGGUUACCAUGGAGAGGACCAAUCAGAUAAAAAGCUUCAAAAAGAGGCAGCAAGGAUCGGUUACCCCGUGAUGAUCAAAGCUGUCCGUGGUGGCGGUGGAAAAGGAAUGCGAAUCGCUCUCUCAGAAGAAACCUUUCAUGAACAACUGGAGUCCGCCAGAAGAGAAGCCCGCAAGUCUUUCAAUGACGAUGUCAUGCUGAUCGAAAAGUUUGUUGAAAACCCCAGACAUGUAGAGGUUCAGGUGUUUGGUGACCAGCAUGGGAACGUGGUGUAUCUGUUUGAGAGAGACUGUAGCGUUCAGAGACGACAUCAGAAGAUCAUCGAGGAAGCUCCAGGGCCAGGCAUUAGUCCCGAGGUCAGACGGAGACUCGGGGAGGCAGCGGUGCUGGCGGCUAAAGCCGUCAACUAUGUCGGAGCAGGCACUGUAGAGUUCAUCAUGGACGCCCAGCACAAUUUCUACUUUAUGGAGAUGAACACCCGUCUGCAGGUGGAACACCCCGUUUCAGAGAUGAUCACAGGAACCGAUUUGGUGGAGUGGCAGCUGCGGGUGGCAGCGGGCGAGAAGGUGCCCCUCUCUCAGGAAGAGAUCUUGUUGAGGGGUCACUCAUUUGAAGCCAGAAUUUACGCUGAAGACCCCAAUAACAACUUCAUGCCAGGAGCAGGGCCGCUGCUCCACCUGUCCACCCCGCAGGGAGAUCAGUGCACACGGAUAGAGACGGGGGUUCGAGAAGGUGAUGAGGUGUCGGCCCACUAUGACCCCAUGAUAGCUAAGCUGGUGGUUUGGGGAGAAGAUCGCUCCGCUGCUCUGAAGAAACUCAGAUACUGCUUACGCCAGUACAACAUUGUGGGUCUAAACACCAAUAUCGAGUUCCUGCUGAGUCUAUCAGGACAUCCAGCGUUUGAAGCAGGAAACGUUCACACCAGUUUCAUUGAGCAGCACUAUGAUGAGCUCUUCCCAGCAGCACAGAAAGCGUCUGGAGAGAUGCUAUGUCAGGCUGCCCUGGGUUUACUGCUCCGAGAAAAACAACACACUGACAGCUACAGAAACCAAUCCAAUGACACUUACUCUCCAUUCGCCUCCAGUAACGGGAGACGACUGAACGUCCUGCACUGCAGGAACCUGACCCUGCAGCUAGGGGACAACAAAGUGGCAAUAUCUGUUACAUACAAUCCAGAUGGGACAUACAGCAUGGAGACCGAAGGUCAGGUGUUUCAUGUGUCAGGAGAGCUUCAGACGGAGGGUGAUGUGACUUACCUGUGGUGCUCUGUCAAUGGAGUGCUGUCCCGACCCAAACUGGUCAUUCUGGACAACACAGUACACAUCUUUUCUAUGGAGGGUAGUGCCCAGAUCAGCAUCCCUGUGCCCAAGUUCCUGGCCGGUGUUAGUGCUUCCAGUGCACAGGGAGGUGCUGUUGCACCCAUGACAGGCACUAUUGAAAAGGUCCUAGUCUAGGUUGGAGACUCUGUCCAGAAAGGAGAUCCUUUAAUGGUGAUGAUUGCCAUGAAAAUGGAGCACACCAUCCGUGCGCCCAAAGCAGGCAUCAUUAAGAAGGUGUUCUUUAAGGAGGGCUCACAAGCAAACCGGCACGCGGCAUUAGUGGAGAUGGAGGAGAAGAAAGAUGAGGCAGAGUAACGUUGCAAUACAUUUAGUGUGACGUCACAGGAAUAUGUUGAAAUGAUGGAUGUUUAAAACUGGGACUGUUGGCUCCACACAUCCCCAAGAAGCACUAAAAAUUUCAGUUGUUCUGUUUGGUGUCUUGUAGAAAAAGAAAUCUAUAGUAAGCUAUAAACUCGUUAAUCUAACACAACAAUCUUUUGAGUCAUUUCAGUCACUGAUUUAAUUUCUUUGGUUCUGGUCCCGUGGCUCUUUUGUACAACGAUGUCAUUGUUUGGUGGAUGAAGCCGUAUUUGCCCGAUUUUUCUGUAUGGCCACUGUUUAAAACGCUCUGUAUGCUUGGUUUGUUUUCCGGGUCAAACACAGAUGACUGUAGACCGUCAUUCCAUCUCUCAUUCUUAAGCAUAUGCAUUUGCAUUUUAACAAAACAAACCCACUCAGGUGGAAGAGAAAUGAUUGUUGACUACAAUGGUGAUGUGUUUAACCAGACAUGCUGUUUAGUGUACUGUAAAUAGUAAACAACAUUCGUG